rnacentral:lncRNA from 1 species
GGGAAAAUGAUCAAGAAGGGCCCACAUGGGGGCUGGUUUUAAGCACCUGAACAGUGCCGAUUUAGGGUAAUAGAAGGAGAUGGCUGGGAUUUAAUUGGGCCGAGCAUAAAAAGGGGUGGUAGGCUGAGGGGUUUAAAAAAAAAUAAAUAAAGAAAAAGAAAAAGGAAAAAGGGAAAGAAGAGAGGAAGAGAGAUUUGGGUGAGCGAAUGAGCAACAUGUGGAAAAUUGCUUAAGUAAGAUUUGAGGAGAUUGUUGUCGAAUUAGAGGACGAUGGAAGCAAGAGAUAAGUAGAUUAUGAAUUUCAAACACUGUUAUGGCAUUUCGUGUUUACUUUCCUAAGAUUCGGUUUCGAAUGGAUGGUGAGCACUUUGGACAGAGGAGUGGAGUUGAGUGUGAAAGGAUAUCGAGGAGGAAGCUGUGAACUGCUUCGGGAAUUAGAUGAGGAAGUAAUUAGCGGAGAAAAAUAAAAUGAAAAACUAUGGAGUGAGACAAAGAAGAGACACCGCGCAGGAAUGAUGAGUGAAAGAAGAAGAAAAAAAAUGGGAGUGUAAACUGAGAGAGGGAGACAGGAUUAUGGAAUUAGGCGACGGUAGGGAAACGAGAGAGGACAGAAAUACAAGAAUCUGAGCUACGCUAGUGAACCACGGAGGUUGUGGUGUCGAGGCACACGUUGGCCGUCGGUUAGGAGAACGGACAGGGAGAGGUUUUAGAUAAAAUGCUGUGUUGUGUAUGAGAAAUGUGGGAACUCCUAGGGGAGGCGAGGAAAUAGCUGAACUGUGUCUUAGUAUACUGAGGUUGGUGAAAGUGUGUGUGAGUAUGGCCAACUAAUGGCAGUUAUGUGUAUGGAAAAUGUGUUAAGGUUUCUGAUUGUCUAUGUCAACCUGAAUUUAAUUUAUACUGUUUGCUUGUCAAAAGUUGCAUGAGUGAAUGGUAAAUGAAUAGAAAUUGGGAAAAACAUAAAGCCGUGAUGGUUGAGUUAUUUUGUGUUGGGAUGCCGAUGUUGACGGUGGUUGGAGUAUGUUUCCAUGUUGCUGGUAUGUGUGCUCGAUUUAUGGUCGGACUAGCAUAGCAUGUAAAUGCGAUCGACUUUCUGGUAGCGGUGGUAGACCGAUAUUUUAUAGUGAUGAUUGCUAGUGUGUUUUGAUUAGUUUUCUUUUGGUUGUUUGAGUUUGCAGUGAGUGCAUGAAAGAGGUUGUGUGUAGGGGAGGGCUGACCAGGAUAGAGCUAAAAUAGAUUUUGGAUAGGGGAAAUAUCAUAUGUAGAUUAAAUCAUAUUAUUUGGCAUGUGGUAUCGUUAAAGAAAAUGGGAUUUUAGGAAAAGAAGAGUCGUAUAGGUGUAGUGGAACAAAGUGAUAACAGGGGAGUGUUGGUGGUAGGUGCUGUUGAAAGAAAAAAAAAAAAAAAAAGAUUUGAGUGGUUAGAUGAGGACAGAACAAUAAAGGAAGAGAACUUAGAACUUGUGUAGACAAUUAAAUGAAAUUCUAUACUUUGGUUUUAUUGUUUGAAUUUAUCUUACUGUAAUUGUGUGUGUUAAUUAUAUAUUAUUUAUAGAUAUUGUAAAAUAGGAAACCGGACCAGGAUUUCUUUCUUUUGAGCUUAGUGUUUAGAGAAGACAAGUUAGCCGAUGC